rnacentral:rRNA from 1 species
GACAGAGGGGGCAAGCGUUGCUCGGAAUUACUGGGCGUAAAGGGCGCGUAGGCGGGAUGGCAAGUCGGUCGUGAAAUCCCUCGGCUCAACCGAGGAACGUCGAUCGAUACUGCUGUUCUUGAGGAUUGCAGAGGAGACUGGAAUUCCCGGUGUAGCGGUGAAAUGUGUAGAGAUCGGGAGGAACACCGGUGGCGAAGGCGGGUCUCUGGGCAUGUGCCGACGCUGAGACACGAAAGCCAGGGGAGCAAACGGG